rnacentral:rRNA from 1 species
UGGGGAAUAUUGGACAAUGGGGGCAACCCUGAUCCAGCCAUGCCGCGUGCGUGAAGAAGGCCUUAGGGUUGUAAAGCGCUUUCACUGGUGAAGAUGAUGACGGUAGCCAGAGGAGAAGCCCCGGCUAACUCCGUGCCAGCAGCCGCGGUAAUACGGAGGGGGCAAGCGUUGUUCGGAAUUACUGGGCGUAAAGCGCGCGUAGGCGGCUUAGUAAGUCGGAUGUGAAAGCCCCGGGCUUAACCUGGGAAUUGCAUUCGAUACUGCUGAGCUAGAGUAUGGUAGAGGGAAGUGGAAUUUCCGGUGUAGCGGUGAAAUGCAUAGAUAUCGGAAGGAACACCAGUGGCGAAGGCGACUUCCUGGGCCAAUACUGACGCUGAGGUGCGAAAGCGUGGGGAGCAAACAGGAUUAGAUACCCGG